rnacentral:lncRNA from 1 species
AGACAGGCAGUCACAAGCCUGGGGACUGCAGGCACAGUGAGGAAGGUAGGGAAGGGUCUCUCCAAGACAGGCCCACCAGGAGCCCCCACUGGGAAUAAUGCAGCCCCUCUCAGGGGAUGGAGUGUCUGGAAUUCCAUGGCUGAGGUGCAACAGGUCCCACAGCCUCUCCAGCCUCUGUGGGAAGAAGGAUCAUCUGAUGCCUAUGUAAUAGAGUUGCUGAAGGAGUGGAAGCAGCUUUGACAUUAUCAGUGGAACCCACCAGUGCAGACUGCUUCACCAAGGGCACCUGAGGCAGCAGAUCUGAGGAUUAGGGACGUAGGGAGCUGAAGCCUGGCUGGAGAGGUGGUGCGCACAAGAACCCCCACAUUCCCCGACAGGAGCCUGAAAAAGCAAGACGCCAUGUUGGGAGGACACGGAAGCAGUUCUAGGGAGAGGAGCACAUGGCAAGAAGCCAAGGCCUCCUGCCCACAGCCGAUACCCUGUGAUUGCCAGCAAGUAAACCAGAUGCAAUUGUGGUUUCCGUGAAGCACAGCUGGAAAACUGCUGCCCCCACGGAGGAAGAGGAAGAUGGGAAGAUGGUGGUUACUGCACACCAGGCACCAGCCUCGGGGCUAUGAGCUGUACAAACAUUACCCAUUUUAUCCUCGUGACCAUGUUCUGAGAAGGCUGUCAAUGAUCUCACUUUAUACAUGGGGAAAUUCAUGCAGACAGAGGCUGACUAAAUUGCCAUGGUCACUCAGCUAGUAGGAACUGGAGCUGUAACUUGAACCCGGGUCUUUUGUUUCUGUGGCUCCUGGUAGCACAUGCCGGGCUUGAAGUGAGAUCCGGAGGAUGUUGGAAACAACGUGUUCCCCAUCAUGAAAGUCCUUAUGAUACCUUAUGAUGCAGAGUUGGCAGCCAGGAGCAGGGGCUUCCAGAAGCAUGGCUGACCCUUGUUGGGAUCUCGCUCCUGUGAGCCUUGGAACGUCUAGGGAGAAAGAGCAGCCAAAUUUAGAGCUGCAGGAGCUUUGAGAUGCAGCUCAGGCAUCAUCUCUGGGAAGUCUUUCCUGGAACCACAGCCUGGGCCCUGUACCUGAUUCCCAGCCCCUGUGGCUCUUUUUGCAUUUGCUGCCUCUUUUCACAAUUCUGUCUCCUUAUGUCUUCCACUCUACACGCAAGCCCCUUGAGGGCAGGACCAUGACUCAGUCAUCCUGUACCCUAGCACCCACCCUGGGUCUGCAUCUGGAAGGAGCUCACUAAGUGAUUAUUGAGCCAAACUGAACUGUAGCAGGAGUGAGCAAAGCUAAUUCAUGGGUGCAGAAUGGGAGCACAGAGCUGCCAGAAUCCAGAGACAACUGUAACUGUCCCGGCACAGGGGGCUUCAGGCCGCGGUGAGAGCCACUGAAAGCAAGAGAGCCAGGUGGUGGCUCAGUUCACACUGAGUCCUGCUGAAGAAAUAGGCACAUCGUGUGUGUUAAAAUCAGCACCCCAUGCACCUGUAGGAAGAGACUGAGGCACCCUGGAGGCCCCUCCCAAUAAUUAAAAGGCCCUCUGGGGCCUGUGGGAGCCCUAGCUGAUGAAAUCACAAAGGCCUCAGCCUCUAAAGUGUUUCCAGUAAAAUGCUACCAGGAUUUUCCUCCCUUAAAUCUGGAUGAAAGGGCUGUCUGUGCUACAAAGUGCACACCUGGCGUUGAUACGCAGUCUCUUGCUGCCUGUUAACUAACCCACCAGCCGACAAGUUCUGCCCACUGGCAGGAGCAAGGACUUAUAAAAAAUAGUGCCUCCCUCCCAAGGGCUUAUGAGCUGGUUAAGUGCAGAGGACAAAUAGAAUGAAAGAAAAGGCAAUCUCGGCAUAGUAUUUAGUUAAUUCUUCUCUCUCUCUUGUUCCCUCUCUCUCCUUUCUCUCUUCCUCCCUCCUUUCUAUGACUUGUCCUCUCCACACAACUCCUUUUCCGUUUUCCCUCCCCUGCCUCCCCACCUUCUUUCUUGACUUCCCAUCUUGCUCCCUUUCUUCCUGCCUGCCCAUCUGCUUUCCUUUCUUAUCUCUGGUGCAAAUUCUGCAUAUAGUCGCUCUCCUCAUUUCAUGACAGGCUGUCUUCAUCAGUUUCUGAGUUCUUUUGUUAUUUUAUAAAAUAUUUUACAUGCUGUCCUCAAAAAAUCCCCUCCCCCAGAAAAGGCCCAUUCAAAAGUACUUACUAUACGUCCUUAGAUAGGCAAUGAUCUCUGAAAUAUAUAUAGGCUUGCUCUAUAUGUGUUUUUGUAAGUGUACUUUUCUUUCAUUAAAUAUGCAGAUCUUAAUUGUACAGUUUGAGGUGUUUUGACAAAGGUAUAUACCAGUAAAACCACCACCCCAACCAAGGUACCGAACACUUUCAUCUCUCUGGAAAGUCCCCUUGUGCCACCUUCCAGUCAACUCUCACCCUCCAGAGGCACCCACUGUUCAGAUUUCUACAUGCAUUUUGCCUGUUGCUGAACUGGAACCUCACAGCCUUUUACGUCUGGCUUCUUUCACUUAACAUAAUGUUUUUAAGUCAUCCAUGUAGUUCAUUCUUUUUUUUGUUGCAGAGCAAUAUUCCAUUGUGUGAAUGGAUGUACUUUAUCCAUCAACAGUUGAUGAAGUUGGGUUGGUGGCACUUUUUGGCUAUCGUGGGUAAUGCUGCUCUGGAUGUUUCUGCACAAGUCUUUAUUGUGGACAUGGGUUUCCAUUUCUUCUGGGCAAAUGCCCAGGAACAGAAUUGCUGAUUCAUUAGGAAGUUAUAUGUUUAACUUCAUAAGAAACUGGAAAACCGCACUCCACAGUGUUCAUGCUAUUGCACAUUGCCCCCAGUGCCAUGUGAAUGUUUCAUUCUUGGGGUCUAGAAUAUCUUACUGCAGUUUUAAUUGGAAGUUCUCUGAUGACUUUUGAUAGAGUAUCUUUUCAUGUGCUUAUUGGUUAUUUAUUUCUUCUUUAAAGAAGAGUCUAGAUCCUUUUCCCAUUUAAAAUUGCAUUGCUUCUAUUUUUACUGUUGAUUCUUAGAAGUUCUUUACAUAUUUUAGAUUUAUAUACAGUAAAUAUUUUCUCCCAGUCCAUGGCUUGCCUUUACCUUUUCUUAAUGGUGUCUUUUGAUUAACCAGACAUUUUAAAUUUUCAUGAAGCCUAUUGUAUCGGGGGUUGUUUUUGUUUGUUCAUUUAUGGUUAGUACUCUUUUUGGUGCUAGCCAGGAAAACUUUGCCUACAUUCUCCUAAGCUCAUGAAUAUAUUUUUCUAUAUUUGUUUCUAGGACAUUUAUAAUUCAAACUUUUAUGUUCUAGCCUAUCACUCAUGUAUAGUUAUGUAUAGUAUAAAUAAGGAUUGAAGUUCAUUUUUCUUUCCAUAUACUUAUCCAGUUAUUCCAGCACCAUUUGUUGAAAACACUUUCUUUCCCUCAUUGAAUUUCCUUGAAGCUUGUGCUCAUAACUUAUAUAACGAGUAUUGCGUUACAAUUUCCAUUAUAUUUCUUAAUUUUUCACUUAACACAAUGUUUAUAUGAUCUAUCCGCAAUGCUGUAUUCAGUCAUUUGAAUUCACUCAUUCAUUUUAUCAUUCAAUAAAUCUGCAGUGGUGAAGAAAACA